GCGGCGACCGGCUCCCUGCUCCUCGGAAAAUGACUCCGCUUAGGAGUCAGCGAAGCACUUCUUGUGGUACCUGCAAACAUAAACUCCAUUAAGGGACUUCCUCUGGCAGCAGCUGCAAAAACUGGGGCACCAGACAUGUGGACGAGCUCCUUUUUGGGAGAUACUGAUGACCUACCUGGAGUGAGGCAGAGAGAGAACAGGGAGAUGUUCUACCAGUCUCUCGUGGUUUCUGGAGAAUAUUGCAGUUGGCCUCUGGAAGUGUUUUAAAUUAGAAGCCUGCCCCUCAAGACACAGCUUUAAAGGGGGGCUGGAACUAGGAAGGAGGCACAAGCAUGCAGCCCAGGUACCUGGAUUCUGACCUCGGCUCCAUUACUUAUUAGCUGUGACUCUGGACAAGCUACUCAGCCUGCCAGCAUCUGAGUUUUCUCGUCUGUGAAAUAAUAGUACUUCAGGAGGUGGCUGUGAAAAUUAAAUGAUUGAUUAUGGGUAAAGUUCCUUGAACAGGCCUGGCAUAUAACAAGUACUUCGUAAGUAUUAGGUAUUAAUGUUUUCCUCCCAUUUAAAAACUAUACUAUUAU